AUGGGAAAGAGGAGAGAACCAUUUGAACCGCUGCAUCCCUAAAGUGGAAUUGAAUAUUGCUUUUGUAAUCUCGCAGACGGAAGGCCUUUGGUCAUGCAUUGGGUUCUGAUGGCUGGUGCUGAUGCAGACUGGUAACACGCACCUCAGGGCUAGUGCGAGGAGCAGGAACAGGACGUACUGGACGGGCCAGGCGCACUGGAGGCCUAAUGCAUGGAACUGGCUUUGGAGGUGCCAGUUCCAUAGCCGAUCAUUGAGAGUAUCUCUACCGCUCCUGCUGUCUCUAGAGAGUUGAAAACAGCAGGUCUGGGACAGGUAGCAGUCCGGUGAACAGGCCAGGGUUCCAUAGCCGCAGGCAGAACAGUUGAAACUGGAGCCGCAGCACGGCCAGGUGGACUGGGGACAGCAAGGAGUCAUCAUGCCAGGUAGCCCUGAGGCAUGGUCCUAGGGCUCAGGUCCUCCGAGAGAAAGAAAGAAAGAGAGAAAGAAUUAGAGAGAGCAUACUUAAAUUCACACAGGACACCAGAUAAGACAGGCGAAAUACUCCAGAUAUAACAGACUGACCCUAGCCCCCUGACACAUAAACUACUGCAGCAUAAACACCGGAGGCUGAGACAGGAGGGGUCAGGAGACACUGUGGCCCCAUCCAAUGAUACCCCUAGACAGGGCCAAACAAGCAGGAUAUAACCCCACCCACUUUGCCAAAGCACAGCCCCCACACCACUAGAGGGAUACCUUCAACCACCAACUUACCAUCCUGAGACAAGGCCGAGUAUAGCCCACAAAGAUCUCCGCCACGGCACAACCCAAGGGGGGGGGGGCAACCCAGACAGGAAGACCACGUCAGUGACUCAACCCACUCAAGUGACGCACCCCUCCUAGGGACGGCAUGGAAGAGCACCAGUAAGCCAGUGACUCAGCCCCUGUAAUAGGGUUAGAGGCAGAGAAUCCCAGUGGAGAGAGGGGAACCGGCCAGGCAGAGACAGCAAGGGCGGUUCGUUGCUCCAGAGCCUUUCUGUUCACCUUCCCACUCCUGGGCCAGACUACACUCAAUCAUAGGACCUACUGAAGAGAUGAGUCUUCAGUAAAGACUUAAAGGUUGAGACCGAGU
rnacentral:lncRNA from 1 species